rnacentral:rRNA from 1 species
AUUGAACGCUGGCUGCAGGCCUAACACAUGCAAGUCGAGCGAAUGUCGGACGGGUGAGCAAUUUCUUGGAAACUGCCUGAUGGAGGGGGCUAACUACUGUAAACGGUAGCUAAUACCGCAUACCAUCGGAUGUGCCCAGAUGGGAUUAGCUCGUAGGUGGGGUAAAGGCUCACCUAGGCGACGCUCCCUAGCUGGUCUGAGAGGAUGACCAGCCACACUGGAACUGAGACACGGUCCAGACUCCUACGGGAGGCAGCAGUGGGGAAUAUUGCACAAUGGGCGCAAGUCUGAUGCAGCCAUGCCGCGUGUAUGAAGAAGGCCUUCGGGUUGUAAAGUACUUUCAGCGGGGAGGCGUUACCCGAAGAAGAAGCAACGGCUAACUACGUGCCAGCAGCCGCGGUAAUUC